CCCUACGGGGCGCACCGCUUUGUGAAAGGCCUGGGGGCCAACUCUGCCUGGGAUGGCGUCAUGAUUGCAGUUGUAGCCAACAACAGCAUCCCUGGGACAUUCUUCUACGGGCUGCUCUUCAGCACGCUUCAGCAGGGAGCGAUCGGCAUGGAGCUGGUCACAGCGGUUCCUUCUGAGUUCAUUGACGUGCUCCAGGCGAUCAUCGUGCUGGUGGUUGUCGCCGGGAGGGUCAGCCUGAAUCUCGUCUUCGAUCGCAUUGCAACUCGCAAGAAACUGAGGGAGAGUCUCCAAUGAACGUGUUCUAUGGACUGUACAGUGCCAUGCUCGUGGGGGCUACACCCAUUCUCCUGGCAGCCAUCGGCGGUGCGUUCACGUACGACGCCGGCAUCUUCAAUAUCGCCAUGGAGAGC
rnacentral:rRNA from 1 species